AUUGGAAGGGGUGUAUUUAUUAGAUAAAAAACCAACGCCCUUCGGGGCUCCUUGGUGAUUCAUAAUAACUUAACGAAUCGCAUGGCCUUGCGCCGGCGAUGGUUCAUUCAAAUUUCUGCCCUAUCAACUUUCGAUGGUAGGAUAGUGGCCUACCAUGGUCUCAACGGGUAACGGGGAAUUAGGGUUCGAUUCCGGAGAGGGAGCCUGAGAAACGGCUACCACAUCCAAGGAAGGCAGCAGGCGCGCAAAUUACCCAAUCCCAAUUCGGGGAGGUAGUGACAAUAAAUACUGAUACAGGGCUCUUUUGGGUCUUGUAAUUGGAAUGAGUACAAUCUAAAUCCCUUAACGAGGAACAAUUGGAGGGCAAGUCUGGUGCCAGCAGCCCCGGUAAUUCCAGCUCCAAUAGCGUAUAUUAAAGUUGUUGCCGUUAAAAAGCUCGUAGUUGAACCUUGGGCCUGGCUGAUCUGUCCUCCUAAUCGAGCGCACGGAUUCGGUCGGGCCUUUCCUUCUGGGGAGCCCGAUGCCCUUCACUGGGCGUCGUGGGGAACCAGGACUUUUAC
rnacentral:rRNA from 1 species